CUUUUAAAGGAUCAAAGU
rnacentral:tRNA from 1 species